AGAAGUUCUCGGGGCGGGGUGAAAUUCCCCACCGGCGGUGACGUCCGUGACCACGAGGUCCGGCGAAGCCCGCGAGCGCUGCCUACCCGGUCACCGGGCGGGCGGGUCAGCAGAUCCGGUGUGAUUCCGGAGCCGACGGUGACAGUCCGGAUGCGAGAGAACAGGC
rnacentral:ncRNA from 2 species